AGUGAGCAUUGCGUCCAUGGAGAGCAGAUGGUGUUUUUGAAAGGAAGGGCGGCCAUUCCCAGGACUUUGGACUUGGUUCCGUUGAACCCCUGAACCGUGGCUGCUGGGACAACGUUGGGACAUCCUUCUACUGAAGAUUCAGAUCUAGAAACCAAGGGGAAGAGACAAACAGGACACAGCCGAGUUCCCGUUCGUCAUGGUGCUCUGAACGCAAUGGCAACAUGUUUGCUUCCCCUAAACCAUCGUAUCAAUGAUAUAUCUUCAUGGGAAACUUUUAAGGAAAAAAAUUCAUGUUCUUUGGGUUCCUAUUCAUUAUAAGGAUAGCUUUCAUCAAACCAGUCACUGUGGAUGACUUUUAAUUUAACAGAGCAGGAAGAAGGCUGUCAGCAACAUUAUCUUUUCUGGUUACCUAAGAUUGUAAGACCAAGAGCCUUCUGACUAAACGGGCCUG
rnacentral:lncRNA from 1 species